rnacentral:rRNA from 1 species
GAUGAACGUUGGCGGCGUGCUUAACACAUGCAAGUCGAACGGUGAACACGGAGCUUGCUCUGUGGGAUCAGUGGCGAACGGGUGAGUAACACGUGAGCAACCUGCCCCUGACUCUGGGAUAAGCGCUGGAAACGGCGUCUAAUACUGGAUAUGUGACGUGACCGCAUGGUCUGCGUUUGGAAAGUUUUUUCGGUUGGGGAUGGGCUCGCGGCCUAUCAGCUUGUUGGUGAGGUAAUGGCUCACCAAGGCGUCGACGGGUAGCCGGCCUGAGAGGGUGACCGGCCACACUGGGAUUGAGACACGGCCCAGACUCCUACGGGAGGCAGCAGUGGGGAAUAUUGCACAAUGGGCGGAAGCCUGAUGCAGCAACGCCGCGUGAGGGAUGACGGCCUUCGGGUUGUAAACCUUUUUUAGCAGGGAAGAAGCGAAAGUGACGGUACCUGCAGAAAAAGCGCCGGCUAACUACGUG